UCUAUACCAUAAUUUUGUGGGAUAUUGGUGUACAAAUUUACCACAUCGAAUGAUACUGACAGGGUUCCUUCAUUUAUUGUCUUCGGGAGGUGGUUUAGCAUGUCUAAGUCAUCCCUGAUGAAGCUUUUCACAUAUUUUAGAAACGGUUUGAGUAAGAUGUCGAGGAAGUUGCUCAAACGGUGGGUCAGCAGUGAUGGGAGAU